GGAGGGUUGGUUCGAGUGGUUCAAGACGAUAGUUUCGAAAACUAUUGGCGCGUAAGCGCCGCACAGGUUCGAAUCCUGUACCCUCCG
rnacentral:tRNA from 1 species